AAAACUGCAAAACUGCAAGUUGCACACGGGCAGAGAUGACGGAGCAACCCCCGACCCUCCGCGCCACUCACCCUACCUGCACACCUGCCGCGCGGACCCUGGGGCGGGUGCCUGGGUGCCCAAGUCAGGCAGUCCGCACAGCAGUGGCACCAGGGUGAAAACCUGCUGCUCGGUACCAUCCCGGUUACCACGAAGAGCCAGUCCCGGCGGCCCCUGCGUUCUUGGAGGAGGCCAAGUCAGAGCAACCUCUCAAGUGGGAGGGCGAUGCACUUGACCCUGAGGACAUCAGGUACCAGGCCCGCCAGCUCACGCCUGCAUCGGAGCCGCAGCUGCAGUCUAGACGUGGUGCACCGGCAGCAAGUGACUGGACACUCCAGACCAGGCCCGCCCCGCAGUAGCGUGGAUCCUGAGGCCAGACCCCCAGGCGGCAAAAUCAGGCAACCGGCCCCGCCAGCAGCCGCUGUUUCAUCCGUGUGGACACAGAGUGCCCAGCGCCAGGGCCCAGGAUCCAGAAAGAUGUCCAAGAGGAGCGGACCUUGAGGCCAGGUGGGCUGUGCGCUCUGCGGCCCUGAGGCCAUCCAAAGGAAGCUCCGCCAUCCUGCGCCAGUGCCAGAUCUGCAGCUGCAAACCGCGCGUGUGGCACUGGCAGCAGUGAGGGCGGGUGGGGGAAGGAGCAGUCCCUGACUCUGCCUCCAUCCCUCUCCAGCUACCUGACACUAGCCACACAGACUUCAGGGUCAGAGCCUCAGCGUUCAGCCAAUCCGCGAAGCCACUCAGGUGGCCGCGGAGUGCCCUUGCCAGCACCCUAUCUCCCUUCUGAGGAGGAGCGGGGCGGGCUGCAAGGCCAGACAGGCCCUCCUUCUCAGGCCGGGCUGGCUGCGCGCCUGCGAUCCUGGGGCUGCCCGGGCGAUCCCAGGAGAACCGGCGAGCCCAUCGGCGCACGCCCAGAGCUGCAGCCCCACCUGCUGGCGCGCGCCGCCAGGGAGCGUCUUCUGGGAGCCCGGCAGCAACUGCCGUGCAGGCGCGCGCCCAACGGCUUUGCGAGGCUCACUCGGUCUGAGAGGUCGGAGGCUGCGAGUGUCGCUGCUGAAGGCUGUGGUGGACCGGGCUGGAUCGCGGAUUGUGUAGAUUAUAGAUUUGAAAUAGCGGAGUUGGGGUUGGAUCGGGGCUUUGGGGUUGGAUAGGGGAUUUGGGGCUGGGUCGGCCGGGGUCGGGGAGGGGGUUGGUGAAAAGGUGACAGGGAGCUGCCCUCGCUCAAGAGCCGGUGGUUGGGGGUCUGAGAAGAAGUCACCAAUAUGAAGUUAUUCGGCUUCGGGAGCCGCAGGGGCCAGACGGCCCAGGGCUCCAUAGACCACGUCUACACGGGUUCCGGAUACCGAAUCCGGGACUCCGAACUGCAGAAGAUCCACAGGGCAGCUGUCAAAGGCGACGCCGCGGAGGUGGAGCGCUGCUUGGCGCGCAGGAGCGGAGACCUGGACGCCCUGGACAAGCAGCACAGAACUGCUCUACACUUGGCCUGUGCCAGUGGCCAUGUGCAAGUGGUCACUCUCCUGGUUAACAGAAAAUGCCAGAUUGAUGUCUGUGACAAAGAAAACAGAACGCCUUUGAUACAGGCUGUCCAUUGCCAGGAAGAGGCUUGUGCCGUUAUUCUGCUGGAACAUGGCGCCAAUCCAAACCUUAAGGAUAUCUACGGCAACACUGCUCUCCAUUAUGCCGUGUAUAGUGAGAGCACCUCACUGGCAGAAAAACUGCUUUCCCAUGGUGCACAUAUUGAAGCACUGGACAAGGACAAUAAUACCCCACUUUUAUUUGCUAUAAUUUGCAAGAAAGAGAAAAUGGUGGAAUUUUUAUUGAAAAGGAAAGCAAGUUCACAUGCCGUUGAUAGGCUGAGACGGUCAGCUCUCAUGCUUGCUGUAUACUAUGACUCACCAGGUAUUGUCAAUAUCCUUCUUAAGCAAAAUAUUGAUGUCUUCGCUCAAGACAUGUGUGGACGAGAUGCAGAAGAUUAUGCUAUUUCUCAUCAUUUGACAAAAAUUCAACAACAAAUUUUGGAACAUAAAAAGAAGAUACUUAAAAAGGAGAAAUCAGAUGUUGGAAGUUCUGAUGAAUCUGCAGUCAGCAUUUUCCAUGAACUGCGUGUGGAUUCAUUGCCUGCAUCGGAUGACAAAGACUUGAAUGUUGCUACUAAGUGUGUCCCCGAGAAAGUGUCAGAGCCUUUACCUGGAUCUUCGCAUGAAAAAGGAAACAGAAUAGUCAAUGGACAAGGAGAAGGGCCUCCUGCAAAACAUCCUUCCUUGAAGCCUAGCACUGAAGUAGAAGAUCCUGCUGUGAAAGGAGCAGUACAAAGAAAGAAUGUACAGACAUUGAGAGCAGAACAAGCCUUACCAGUGGCUUCAGAGGAAGAGCAAGAAAGGCAUGAAAGAAGUGAAAAGAAGCAACCACAGGUCAAAGAAGGAAAUAAUACAAACAAAAGUGAAAAAAUACAACUUUCAGAAAAUAUAUGUGAUAGUACAUCUUCUGCUGCUGCUGGCAGAUUAACCCAACAAAGAAAGAUUGGGAAAACGUAUCCUCAGCAAUUUCCCAAGAAGCUGAAGGAAGAGCAUGAUAGAUGCACCUUAAAACAAGAAAAUGAAGAAAAAACAAAUGUUAAUAUGCUGUACAAAAAAAAUAGAGAAGAAUUAGAAAGGAAAGAGAAACAAUAUAAGAAAGAAGUUGAAGCAAAACAACUUGAACCAACUGUUCAGUCACUAGAGAUGAAAUCAAAGACUGCAAGAAAUACUCCAAAUCGGGAUUUUCAUAAUCAUGAAGAAAUGAAAGGUCUGAUGGAUGAAAAUUGCAUUUUGAAGGCAGAUAUUGCUAUACUCAGACAGGAAAUAUGUACAAUGAAAAAUGACAACUUGGAAAAAGAAAAUAAAUAUCUUAAGGACAUUAAAAUUGUUAAAGAAACAAAUGCUGCCCUUGAAAAGUAUAUAAAACUCAAUGAGGAAAUGAUAACAGAAACAGCAUUCCGGUAUCAACAAGAGCUUAAUGAUCUCAAGGCUGAGAAUACAAGGCUCAAUGCCGAACUGUUGAAGGAAAAAGAAAGCAAGAAAAGACUGGAAGCUGACAUUGAAUCUUAUCAGUCUAGACUGGCUGCUGCUAUAAGCAAACACAGUGAAAGUGUGAAAACAGAAAGAAACCUAAAACUUGCUUUAGAGAGAACACGAGAUGUUUCUGUACAAGUAGAAAUGAGUUCUGCUAUUUCCAAAGUAAAAGAUGAGAAUGAGUUUCUUACUGAACAACUUUCUGAAACACAAAUUAAAUUCAAUGCCUUAAAAGAUAAGUUCCGUAAGACAAGAGAUAGUCUCAGAAAAAAGUCAUUGGCUUUAGAAACUGUACAAAACGACCUAAGCCAAACACAGCAGCAAACACAGGAAAUGAAAGAGAUGUAUCAAAAUGCAGAAGCUAAAGUGAAUAAUUCCACUGGAAAGUGGAACUGUGUAGAAGAGAGGAUAUGUCACCUCCAACGUGAAAAUGCGUGGCUUGUACAGCAACUAGAUGACGUUCAUCAGAAAGAGGAUCAUAAAGAGAUAGUAACUAAUAUCCAAAGAGGCUUUAUUGAGAGUGGAAAGAAAGACCUCGUGCUAGAAGAGAAAAGUAAGAAGCUAAUGAAUGAAUGUGAUCAUUUAAAAGAAAGUCUCUUUCAGUAUGAGAGAGAGAAAACAGAAGGAGUAGUAAGUAUCAAGGAAGAUAAAUAUUUUCAAACUUCUAGAAAGAAAAUUUAAACAUUUGGUUCUGGAUACAUGUUGAACUUAGUUGAAUAUAAAAAUCUAGAUUAAAAGUGUGUUUACCAUACUGUAUAAUUCCAUUUACAUGAAGCAUCCAGAAAAGAUAAAUGUAUAGGGACAAAAAGUAGAUUCAUGUUUGCAAGGGGCUGGGGCUGGAAGCUGGUAGUGACUGCUAAUGGGCAUGAGGAAUCUUACAGUGAUGGAAAUGCUCUAAAGUUGGAUUGUAGAGAUGGCUGCACAACUCAGUAAAUGUACUAAAAAUCUUUUAACUUAAAACAGAUACAUUCUAUAGUAUGUAAAUUAUAUUUCAACAAAGCUGUUUUAAUAAAAAAAGGAAAAAUGUGUUUACUAUAUCGGCUUAGAAACAUGCCUCAUUUCUAGGAAAUAAAAGAUAGAGGUGAGAGAUGAUUUACUUUGAGAAAAGACAUUGUGUCACCUAUGAAAUUUUAUUAGGCACAGAGUCAUAUUUUAAGGUAGAUAGUUCUGUAUUGCUGAAAUAGUAAUUUUAAUGUCUUUAUGUUGCCACAUGUUAAGACCAUAAUGUAGUUAUAAAUGGAAAUGUUUACACCUGAAGUGAGUAUUUUCAAAUUAAAAUUUAAUUAAGUGAUUUUCUUCGACACUUAAUUCUAGAUUCCCCAGAUGAAUUGAAGUGUAUUGCUGUGUCUUGUAAUACCUUGCUUUAACUAGCUUUUUAUGUAUUUUAGUUGGUAUAGCUUUGUUAUUAUUCAUAUUAACAAAUCUGAAAAUAUGUCAAAUUACGUGUUUUUAUGACCAUGUAAUGUUUUAAAGGCACCUACUUGUUAUAAAAUCAUAAUUUAGGAUAAAUGUGGUAAAACUUAGCAAAACUAUAUUUGGUUUAGUUUUCCCACUGGUAUUUAUAGUUUACUUUGAAUAUUUAUAUUAAUAAUUAGCUCAUAAUUUUUAUUGCAAGGCUCAAUGACUGUCAUUGGAAUAUAAUUUUGUUCAGUACAAAGAUACUUGUAGCUGUCUGUGAUUUACGAGUUAGGCACUACAUCUCCAUUUUCAGACUGAGGGGUGGCAGGCUUCACAUACAGUGGGAAUGGAGUAAUUACAGGAGGGAGUUGUAGGAGCUUUGAAGUCAGAGAGGGAGGUAGAGGCCUUUUUACCUAGGGCCUCAAAGGCCAUUGGAAUUUUACUUUUAUUCUGAGAUAGGAAUCUGUUGGAAGGAUUUGAACAGGUGAUUGAAUAUGUUAGGAACUUUGAGGCUGAGUUGAGCUUCUGAGAUGAUUGAAUGUUGGAAUGAAUCUGUUGUGUAAGUAAGAGAAUACCAAUUUGGCAGGAAGAGAACAUAUUCUGCAUCCCUCACUGAAUUCAGUAAUAAAUAAAAAUGUGUACAUGUGAUUAAAAGAAGGUGAAUUGAUAUGUGUGGUGAUAAUUUUCAAAGUAGAUAUGUUAGAAUUAAACAUUAUUAACAUAAUUUAAUAAGGCAGUUUAUAA